AUAUUCCUGGUGCGGGUGCCCUCAUAGGAUAGAGGAUCAACACCCUUGAAUCCUGGAGCUGGAGUUAUAGACAGUUGACAGACAAGGAACUGUUUUUGUAUUAUAUGAAUCUCUGAAGAGACACAGGUUUGGCAUGUUAACAAUCGGUGUGGAUCUCCAGGGGGUCCUCAUGACCUUUGCUCGAAAUCUCUUCAUCAUCCAUCAAGAAAUAUCAGCACCUAAUAUGCAAGGCGAGAGCAAUUUUAAG